rnacentral:rRNA from 1 species
UACGUAGGGUGCGAGCGUUAAUCGGAAUUACUGGGCGUAAAGCGUGCGCAGGCGGUUCGUUGUGUCGGCGGUGAAAGCCCCGGGCUUAACCUGGGAAUGGCCGUUGAAACUGGCGAACUGGAGUGUGGCAGAGGGGGGUGGAAUUCCGCGUGUAGCAGUGAAAUGCGUAGAGAUGCGGAGGAACACCGAUGGCGAAGGCAGCCCCCUCGGGCUAACACUGACGCUGAGGAGCGAAGGCGUGGGGAGCGAACAGG